UGGCGGACGGGUGAGUAAUGUCUAGGGAAACUGCCUGAGGGAGGGGGAUAACUACUGGAAACGGUAGCUAAUACCGCAUAACGUCGCAAGACCAAAGAGGGGGACCUUCGGGCCUCUUGCCAUCGGAUGUGCCCAGAUGGGAUUAGCUAGUAGGUGGGGUAACGGCUCACCUAGGCGACGAUCCCUAGCUGGUCUGAGAGGAUGACCAGCCACACUGGAACUGAGACACGGUCCAG
rnacentral:rRNA from 1 species